rnacentral:rRNA from 1 species
CAUUUGGAUUCAGAGCGAAGACAAAGACAGACGAGAGCGGCAGCUUCCUCCCUACUCCCUACUCUCUCCUACUCCUUCCCCUUCCUACUCCACUGACGGACGGGACUCGGCCUUCUUCUUGCCUUCCUCUCCCCCCUCCCCCCUCCCGCCGCCGCCUUCCUCCGCCGGGGCUGGUUCAGCUACUAACUGCGGCCGGGGGAAGGAGAAAGGCCGCGUCUUUCCCGGCCACCUUUCGGCUCGCCCCCAGCCCACGCGGGAGCCGGAUUGGGAUGGAGUCGGCGGCCGGCGGCGGGCUGGGCAGCAUGCGCGCGGUGCUCGCCAUCCUCCAGUGGUGGGGCUUCAACGUCACCGUCAUCAUCAUCAACAAAUGGAUCUUCCAGAAGCUGGAUUUCAAGUUCCCCCUGACGGUGUCCUGCGUCCACUUCAUAUGCUCUUCCAUCGGGGCAUACGUCGCGAUCCACGUGCUCAAGGCGAAGCCGCUGAUUCAGGUCGAGCCCGAGGACCGCUGGAAGAGGAUCUUCCCCAUGUCCUUCGUGUUCUGCAUGAACAUCGUGCUCGGGAACGUCAGCCUGCGCUACAUCCCGGUCUCCUUCAUGCAGACUAUCAAAUCGUUCACCCCUGCAACCACAGUUAUUCUGCAGUGGUUGGUUUGGAGCAAGCACUUCGAGUGGCGCAUAUGGGCUUCGCUGGUCCCGAUAGUCGGGGGGAUCCUCCUAACCUCAAUGACAGAGCUCAGCUUCAACAUUUUUGGUUUCUGUGCUGCCAUGAUUGGCUGCCUCGCCACGUCUACCAAGACCAUCUUGGCAGAGUCCCUGCUCCAUGGAUACAAAUUUGACAGCAUUAACACAGUGUACUACAUGGCACCCUUUGCCACCAUGAUACUGGCUCUACCAGCAAUGUUGCUUGAAGGAGGUGGCGUAAUCGACUGGUUCUACACGCACGACUCUGUCUUUUCUUCGCUGAUUAUCAUCCUAGGCUCAGGGGUGCUUGCGUUUUGCCUCAACUUCUCCAUCUUCUACGUGAUCCAUUCAACCACCGCUGUGACCUUCAAUGUUGCUGGCAACCUUAAAGUUGCUGUCGCCGUGUUGGUCUCGUGGUUGAUCUUCCGGAACCCAAUCUCCCCCAUGAAUGCAAUUGGAUGCGCAAUCACGCUCGUCGGCUGUACUUUCUAUGGGUAUGUGAGGCAUCUCAUCUCCCAACAGCAGGCUGCUGCGCCCCUAGGGAGCCAAGGAACGAACUCGCCGAGAAGUCGGGUGGAGAUGCUCCCCCUUGUAGGCGACAAGGAAGAUAAGGUCUAGCAAGGCAAUACUCCCAUAUUCAAGAGCCGUUCAUUUCAGCGGUUGACGGUACAUUACAGUUUGGCACACAGAUGCUGAGUUGAGGGAGGCCAGUAAAUUGGUAGGGGGGCAACACUUUUUUGUGAAGCUACAUUAUGUUGUACUCGGGCAAACUGCGAGGGUUUGUUCAGUUACUAGUUCUCAUAGGGUUACUAGUUAUCUACUUAAUCAAAUCCCCCCGGACAAUUCGUGCGAUUAGGAUGGUGCUUCUGUUUUCUUGUUUUGCUGCCAUAUGUUUAGACCUUAAACUGCUGGUAUGAAAAUUAAUGGCAUUAUGAUACGAGUCAUCUUUGCAUCGAAAUUCUGUUGCACAUUGU